UACGUAGGGUGCAAGCGUUAAUCGGAAUUACUGGGCGUAAAGCGUGCGCAGGCGGUUGUGCAAGACCGAUGUGAAAUCCCCGGGCUUAACCUGGGAAUGGCAUUGGUGACUGCACGGCUAGAGUGUGUCAGAGGGGGGUAGAAUUCCACGUGUGAGCAGUGAAAUGCGUAGAGAUGUGGAGGAAUACCGAUGGCGAAGGCAGCCCCCUGGGAUAAC
rnacentral:rRNA from 1 species